ensembl:lncRNA
UGUUUACACACGUACAAAUGUGCAAACAAACACACACAUACGCAAACACGCACAAACACAGACACACAAACAGAGAGUGUUGUCGCAGUGUGUGCCUGAACUUUCCCUCCACACAGGGCUCAGUAAUCCUGGAUCAGAGAACACAAAGGGCCUCAGAGCACUGGUGAUGUAAGCAGCAGUGUGUCCAGCGAGUGAGCGUGUUGCUUUACCCCAGCACUCUCCCCUAGAGCACUGCUGCAGGCUGUGUUUGGGGCGGAAAGAACCUGGCCCUGUCAUGGCUGACCCCAUGACAGCUGACACAUAGUUGGUGCGAGAGCAAUAGCGAGACUAGCCCUAACCCUACCAUUCCUAUCUGAUCUGUCACAGACAUGGGACCGUCUCUGACCUGGGACCCAGUGGGAAAGUGAAAGUUGUUCGAAGCAGUGGAGAAGAAUGUGGUCCAGCUCCGUCUAGGAGGGGAGGAUCAGGAGCAGCUUGUUGCCGCGACCAGGGACUACUGAGACUGGUGCUUAUCUUACUACUGUCAACACAAGGUGCUGCCUAGCCUGGAGAGAGAGAGAGAGGGGAGUGAGAGAGGAGGAGAGAGAGUGAGGGACGCCACGUUGCCUCACAGGUGAGUAUUGCUAGGUAAAUAUUUACCCAGUAAACACCUCAUGGGUCCGUGAUCUCACCAGUAUCGGUAGCAGGCAGGGCACUGCCUGCCAGGGUUGCAAAGUGGCUAGAAGUGGCUAUGUUGUUGACGUAUGCUGAAAUUGAAGUGCAAGAGGUUUUGGAUGGCAUAAGUGUUUACUGUACAUUUGGGUUGACCCUUUGUAUCAGACACUCUCCUGAGUUGGCGAGGCUGUAAGUGUUUGAUAAUACACCUGAGAGGCGUUUGUGUGUAUUUUUUGGUGUACACUGCAUAGGAGCAUCAUGGAUUUGCUGCAGGACUCUCGGUGGACCAUGCAGGGCCUCAACAGCCGUCUGAAGGGCUUCCUGGAGCAGGUAAACAAGCUGCAAGAGGCAAACUUGUGUCUGGAGGGCCAGAUUGCAGACUGGGGUCUGAGGAACGCUCCGCACCCCCAGGAAUGGACCCAGCAGGAAAGCACUGUGGCCGACCUUCGUUCCCAGGUUGGUAAGCUGCUGAUGGAGAAUGCAGAGCUGGUGCUGCAGUCUGACCACAUGAUGUCCAGGGCUUCUACCAUCCAGGCCAGAUGUGAGGCGGAAGAGAGGCGGACCAAAUGUCUGGAGCAACAGGUGGCUCUGCUGAGGGAGAACCAGAUGAGGGUGGAGCAAACCAAUGUACAGCUGGAGGCGGAGCUACACCACUCCAUGACAGAGCUGCAGGACAUGCACCAGGACUAUGUGGUACGGUCUUGUGCCAGUGUCCGUGUGCAUGUUGCAAGGGUCUUAGGGUCUGUACGGUUGCGGACAGCUGCUUUUGUUCAGUGAAGACAUCCGUAAAAAAAAAGGUUGAAUAAAUACUGUAACAUUUGUUUGUAAGAUAGCCUUAACUUUAGGCUAUUUACUGUAAAAUUAAUAUUGAAUUGUGUUUGGUUGCAUCAAAAAUAUCGACAUUUAAAGGAGAUGCAUCUACUGCUUGUAUAGUUCCAUCUGAGCCACUGGCUUAAUCCCAUUCUUCAACUUGUAUUUGUGGUUGAGUUGGAGACAUGAAUCCAACACAUCAUUUGUUAACAUGUCGACAGGUUAACAGGCUAUUGAUUGUAUUUGGUAUACAACCAAAUAUCAACAUUUGAAGGAGAUGUAUCUCUUGCUUGGAUAGUUCCAUCUGAGCCACUGACUUUAAUUCCAGUUUGUCUCCAAAUUAAAAGUUGAUAUGUUGAUGAAACGUCUGCAUCUCAACCAGAAAUCGAAGUUAAAGAAUAGGACUGAUUCAAAACUAACUUUGAUGAAUGGGCAUUUCAUUUGUUUUGAUUCGGUCCAAUUCUUUAACUUCGAUUUCUGUUUGAGAUGCAGACGUGAAUCCAACAUAUCAAUGAUUAAUUUGUAGACAAAAAGGAGAAAAAAAAUAAGACUAAGUCAGUGGCACAGAUGCAACUAUCCAAGCAGAAGAUACAUCUCCUUCAAAUGUUGAUAUUUGGUUGCGUUGACAACUAAAAACAUUCCAAUAUCACUAAAUAUCAUUACAAUUGAAAUCAACCAGAGCUUGAAGCCAUUGGCCUAUUUCAUUGUCUAUUUUUCCAGUUCUGGGUUGAAUUGAAAUAAUAAAAAAAAAAAGGGGCCUGGUACUGUAUAGAGACAGACAGACAGACAGACCAGACAGAC